rnacentral:rRNA from 1 species
CCUACGGGAGGCAGCAGUGAGGAAUAUUGGUCAAUGGGCGCGAGCCUGAACCAGCCAAGCAGCGUGAAGGACGACUGCCCUAAGGGUUGUAAACUUCUUUUGUCAAGGAAUAAAGUCAGGCACGUGUGCCUGUCUGUAGGUACUUUAUGAAUAAGGAUCGGCUAACUCCGUGCCAGCAGCCGCGGUAAUACGGAGGAUCCGAGCGUUAUCCGGAUUUAUUGGGUUUAAAGGGUGCGUAGGUGGGUUGUUAAGUCAGUUGUUAAAGGUUGGGGCUCAACCGUAAAAUUGCAAUUGAUACUGGCAGUCUUGAGUACAGGUGAGGUAGGCGGAAUGCGUGGUGUAGCGGUGAAAUGCUUAGAUAUCACGAAGAACUCCGAUUGCGAAGGCAGCUUACUGACCUGCCACUGACAUUGAUGCUCGAAAGUGUGGGUAUCAAACAGGAUUAGAUACCCCAGUAGUC